rnacentral:rRNA from 1 species
UACGAAGGGGGCUAGCGUUGCUCGGAAUCACUGGGCGUAAAGCGCACGUAGGCGGAUUGCUAAGUCAGGGGUGAAAUCCUGGAGCUCAACUCCAGAACUGCCUUUGAUACUGGCGAUCUUGAGUCCGGGAGAGGUGAGUGGAACUGCGAGUGUAGAGGUGAAAUUCGUAGAUAUUCGCAAGAACACCAGUGGCGAAGGCGGCUCACUGGCCCGGUACUGACGCUGAGGAGCGAAAGCGUGGGAGCAAACAGG